CAAUAGCGUAUAUUAAAGUUGUUGCAGUUAGAACGCUCGUAGUCGGAUUUCGGGGCGGGGCGACCGGUCUGCCGAUGGGUAUGCACUGGUCGGCGCGUCCUUCCUUCCGGAGACCGUUCCUACUCUUAACUGAGCGGGGGCGGGAGACGGAUCGUUUACUUUGAAAAAAUCAGAGUGUUUCAAGCAGGCGGCUCGCUCUUGCAUGGAUUAGCAUGGGAUAAUGAAAUAGGACUUUGGUGCUAUUUUGUUGGUUUCGAACACCGAAGUAAUGAUUAAAAGGGACAGUCAGGGGCACUCGUAUUCCGCCGAGAGAGGUGAAAUUCUCAGACCAGCGGAAGACGAACCACUGCGAAAGCAUUUGCCAGGGAUGUUUUCACUGA
rnacentral:rRNA from 1 species